GUGCCUGUAGUUCAAUUGGUAGAGCGCUGGACUGUGACUCUAGAUGCUGAGGGUUCGAGCCCCUUCAGGCACCCCA
rnacentral:tRNA from 1 species